CUGCAGCUCCCAGUGAACAGGAGGAUUUCAUUAGAGGAAGUCAGACACAGUCACACAGAGAAACAUCAGAGCUCACACUGAAACGGAGCUACAGCUCUGUGUCUUGUAGAAGAUUUAUUUUCAAAGCUACAUGUGUGACGGUAAUAAUCCGUGCCAGAGCAGACCUCAUUAGCACUUCCGCUAGGUCGGCUAACCUUUCCGGUCACUUCAGGGAUGCUGUUGUCGGUCCCUCUCUAUCUCCCCACACAUCCACCAACCACUGGAACACAUCUCCAAAGUUCUGCUGGACCAGCUCAGCUUCCCCUCAGAAGAAGUGCUGCCACCUGCCAGAUGAAGGAGCCUUUUGAGAGGCAGCUGGCAUCGUGAUUGGACUGUACUUUGGUCUGUUCCAAUCCAGCUUCAGCUCCAGAGACGGCAGGCGGGACGAGUCAACGGAGGCCGGAUGGACGAAGGCAUGCAGCUGAGUACAAUCCAGAAAACAACAGAGGAGGAGUGCAGCGGCCCAGAGCCAGAACAACCAGAGUAGCAUGGUAUGUCUCUUAGAAAACAUCAUAGUAGAGCCUUUGGUAUGAAAAAACACCAUCAUAUACAUCGUAGAUUGUACAAAUAACAAGUCAAAGGAAAGAGACAUACAUUGUAGAAUUGUAGUAAUUGUGGGCUGACUGAUUUACUGAUUAUCAGUAUUUUAUUUUUUACUGAUUUACAGUAAUAAAUAAAUUUAAGAAUGG